UCCGUAUCCUUUUGGCUCGCCGUCAUUCCGCGCGUGGCGGAGGCAGAGGGAACAAGAUGGCGGCGUGAGGGGAGAAACGGAGGCUGCGGCCCGCUGGGCCUACGUUGAGGCCCACGUUUGCACCAUAUUGAUUGACAGUCCGAAGAAGAAAACUGGAUUACUGUAACGUGAUGGUCAGGAGUUCAUGGAGAUAAAUGAUUUGUGCAGCUAUGAUACAAAAGGGAACAUUCUUAUGGUUUCAAUUAAACAAUUAGAAGCUGAGAAACAAUUGUGGUCUUACAUAACUGUUCUUCCCUGUCCCAACAAAUGAAGACUGAUUGUGGAGCCUUGCCUGGUUGUGAAGGCACUUCCGGCGAUGGAAAAUCCCUCAUCGUCACCAUAAAAGAAAUGAAGAACCAUUGCUCUCUUUCUGCUCUAUUUCCGGGAAAAGAUAAUCUUGCCCUUUAAAAUAGUUGACAUUUUGUAGAAGUGUCAAUAGUGACAGCCCGUUUUUCACUGUUUUGGCACACUACAAAUGUUUAUCCAUCCAUCCAAAGACUAACAACUGUUCUGGCUGAUAGUUGCCAUAGAUAAGGAAAGGCUUACUCCCUACAUUGCAUUACGGAAAACCUAACAAUUGAUGUCCUUUGAGCAAGUGGAUCUUAGUGUAUUAAAGAUCCUGGUAGAAUAAUCAAGAUAUUAUGUGUGUUAUUCUAAAAGAAAGAAUAGCCUCUCAAAGAAAAUAAAAACCCUUUGAAAAUUCCUCAGCAGGGAUUGUUCUCCUGAAAGGAGUCAGUUUACAGAUAGCCAUCUUGGCAUCUCUAUUUAGCAGCUGACAUCCAGCAGCAAAUAGUCCACUGUGUUGGAGAGCAUCCUCCUUUUGUAAAUCAAAGCAAAUGAACAAAAUAA